AUUGAACGCUGGCGGCAUGCUUUACACAUGCAAGUCGAACGGUAACAGGCCUUCGGGUGCUGACGAGUGGCGCACGGGUGAGUAAUGCAUCGGAACGUACCCAGAGGUGGGGGAUAACGCAGCGAAAGCUGUGCUAAUACCGCAUGUGAUCUGAGGAUGAAAGCGGGGGACCGAGCAGCAAUGUUUGGCCUCGCGCCUUUGGAGCGGCCGAUGUCGGAUUAGCUAGUUGGUGGGGUAAAGGCCUACCAAGGCGACGAUCCGUAGCUGGUCUGAGAGGACGAUCAGCCACACUGGGACUGGGACACGGCCCAGACUCCUACGGGAGGGAGCAGUGGGGAAUGUGGGACAACGGGCGCAAGCCUGAUCCAGCAAUGCCGCGUGCGGUAAGAAGGCCUUCGGGUUGUAAACCGCUUUUGGCAGGAACGAAACGGUGUCCGCUAAUACCGGGCGCUAAUGACGGUACCUGCAGAAUAAGCACCGGCUAACUACGUG
rnacentral:rRNA from 1 species